rnacentral:rRNA from 1 species
UUGUGAGGUUAAGCGACUAAGCGUACACGGUGGAUGCCCUGGCAGUCAGAGGCGAUGAAGGACGUGCUAAUCUGCGAUAAGCGUCGGUGAGGUGAUAUGAACCGUUAUAACCGGCGAUUUCCGAAUGGGGAAACCCAGUGUGUUUCGACACACUAUCAUUAACUGAAUCCAUAGGUUAAUGAGGCGAACCGGGGGAACUGAAACAUCUAAGUACCCCGAGGAAAAGAAAUCAACCGAGAUUCCCCCAGUAGCGGCGAGCGAACGGGGAGGAGCCCAGAGCCUGAAUCAGUGUGUGUGUUAGUGGAAGCGUCUGGAAAGGCGCGCGAUACAGGGUGACAGCCCCGUACACAAAAAUGCACAUAUUGUGAGCUCGAUGAGUAGGGCGGGACACGUGGUAUCCUGUCUGAAUAUGGGGGGACCAUCCUCCAAGGCUAAAUACUCCUGACUGACCGAUAGUGAACCAGUACCGUGAGGGAAAGGCGAAAAGAACCCCGGCGAGGGGAGUGAAAAAGAACCUGAAACCGUGUACGUACAAGCAGUGGGAGCCUCUUUAUGGGGUGACUGCGUACCUUUUGUAUAAUGGGUCAGCGACUUAUAUUCUGUAGCAAGGUUAACCGAAUAGGGGAGCCGAAGGGAAACCGAGUCUUAACUGGGCGUUAAGUUGCAGGGUAUAGACCCGAAACCCGGUGAUCUAGCCAUGGGCAGGUUGAAGGUUGGGUAACACUAACUGGAGGACCGAACCGACUAAUGUUGAAAAAUUAGCGGAUGACUUGUGGCUGGGGGUGAAAGGCCAAUCAAACCGGGAGAUAGCUGGUUCUCCCCGAAAGCUAUUUAGGUAGCGCCUCGUGAAUUCAUCUCCGGGGGUAGAGCACUGUUUCGGCAAGGGGGUCAUCCCGACUUACCAACCCGAUGCAAACUGCGAAUACCGGAGAAUGUUAUCACGGGAGACACACGGCGGGUGCUAACGUCCGUCGUGAAGAGGGAAACAACCCAGACCGCCAGCUAAGGUCCCAAAGUCAUGGUUAAGUGGGAAACGAUGUGGGAAGGCCCAGACAGCCAGGAUGUUGGCUUAGAAGCAGCCAUCAUUUAAAGAAAGCGUAAUAGCUCACUGGUCGAGUCGGCCUGCGCGGAAGAUGUAACGGGGCUAAACCAUGCACCGAAGCUGCGGCAGCGACACUAUGUGUUGUUGGGUAGGGGAGCGUUCUGUAAGCCUGUGAAGGUGGCCUGUGAGGGUUGCUGGAGGUAUCAGAAGUGCGAAUGCUGACAUAAGUAACGAUAAAGCGGGUGAAAAGCCCGCUCGCCGGAAGACCAAGGGUUCCUGUCCAACGUUA